rnacentral:lncRNA from 1 species
UGCAAUAGGACACCGUGACGGAAACCAGAGUGCACGGAAACGCCGUUUACCUUCCUGUCGUGGUGGUAUCUAUUUAUCUACUUGCACUGGUGUGCUUUCGAACUGCUAGGUUGGCAGACGCUGGGACAGAGCAACGGGAGCUCACUCUGUCACGAGGAUUCGAACUGCCGACCUUCUGAUCGGCAAGCCCAAGAGGCUCAGUGGUUUAGACCACAGCUCAACACCCAUCCCACGUGGCCAGAGGCAGCAGCAGGAAUGUCUGAUCAUGGAGGGGGCAGGAAAAAAAACCCACGCACAAACACAUAUAUGCAAAAAAAGCAGCUUUAGGAAAAAUGCUAUCUUGGGCUUGAAGGAACCCCCACAAGCCGGGAGCCCUGUCUAAGCAAACAGCUCUAUCUCUUCCGUGGGAGGACAAACCAGGCUGAGGGAGAAGGAGUUGAGGCGCAUAGAUGUCAAGGGAGACACAUACUUUGCUCCAGGCCUGAGUCACACUUUCGUGCGACAGCAACCACAAAGAACGCGAGGAGGCGAUAAGGCGAGUUUGCAACUGAAUUGGGGGGGGGGGGGACACCAGCGGUUAAAAAUAAAAUGGUGUGACAAUCCUGCGCCUGCUCGUUCCAUAAGAGGUAACAGGAAAGGGAGCAGACCUCAAGUUGGGCAGAGAGAGACAGAAGUUUCCUCCUCGUUUAUGGCGGUCUUGUUGACACGCAGAGGGUUGUUGCCUCCAGCUAAGGUCUCGUCCGUGCUGUCGUUUAAUGAAGAUAGAGAACUUCCUGUGACUUGCCUUUGCUCUAUUGUCUGGAUUUUCUCAUACCAAGGCUACUCUGAAAAGGGAGAGGCCUAGGUAGGAAGAAACCCAAACUGAAGGAGGGGAGAGUGCGGACAGCAGAAUGAACGGAGGUACUGAAAGCUUGCUCUCCACAAGGCUAGACACACACACACACACACACACACACACACACAUGCGUCUACGCAGGCUCAGGCUUUAGGCUUCAGACUCGCCAAAGCCCGAGUUCAGGGUCUAGCUCAGUCGGCAGAGCAUGAGACUCUUAAUCUUAGGGUUGUGGGUUCGAGUCCCAUGUUGGGCAAAAGAUUUCUGCAUUGCAGGGGGUUGCACUAGAUGACCCUCAGGGUCCCUUGCAAGCAUGGGAGCCAACUCCCAGGGGCCGUAGGUGUUAUGUACUGAAGUUCUCACCCUGGGCCAGCAGGGGGAUACUGUAGCUAGUUAUGCAAAUAAGGGAUCGAAAGUGACGUUCAGUGAUUGGAUAGUUUUAGAAAGUUGAUACAGUUACGUUGUACUGGAGCUCUAUAUAAGCAGGCUGACUGAACCCUUCAGUUCAGUUCUGUCCUGGCCUGUGAAUAAACAAGUGCUGUUUGAAGAAUUGCUGUGUCGUCUGAUAUGUUCACCCACAACUUAACAGUAGGGGCUUCAGCCCCCACAAUAGAAGAUUUGAGGGGGCUGGGCCCCCACAAAGUUGAUGGGCAUUCCCAUUCAAAUGGUGUGUGUGUGUGCACUGCCUCAUGCGAUCGAUUAUGUGGGGCGAGGGCAACGAUAUUUUGUUAUUCAAUUUGGCACCCCUGAUUCCAAGUCUACAAUUCUAUGAUUCUGUAACCGGGCACGGGGCAAGCUGGGUUUUCGUCAGGGUCCUCAGGAGGUCUCUGAGGCCAAACCCAAGACCCGGAGAUGAGGCAAGCAAGAAACCACAUUACACGUUCUGUUCUGCUACUACUGACGUCACUCACAGUCACAUUUCUCAGCCCUCUCUGGGCCUUUUACAAUGGAUCCAUUGGGUCAUUAAUGGCCCAUGGCAAACAGGAAACACAGACUAAAGAGAGCAAGAGAGGCCCGGUCUGAAAUUUAAUUUAAAUUGUGUAAUGGCUUUUCAUGGGAGGCAGGGAGAGAGAAGUUGGCCACUGUGGAUUAAUCAUCACAAGUAAGAAACAAACGCUCAGCAAGAAGGAAGCCAAUGGGAAUGGACUUUUUUCUGACAAAUACUGGAAAGCCAAGGGCGCUGGACACGCACGAUGCACAGUACUGUAUUUCUGGUACAGCACAGGGAUGAACAGAAGGCAACAGAAGAUACACACACACACACACACACUGCUAUGCUUCACAGAGGAAAUUAACUCCAGUGGCUGAGAGCCUGCGCAGGAAAUGAUGGCGGCAGAUCUCGCUUCUGGAAAUCGCUGGUGGGCUUAGAUCAGAAAAAAGACUUCACUUGUGUGUCGGGGACUGUAGGAGAAACAGGCAAUGCAAGGCGAGCUUUGCUGUGUUAGGAUAAGGAGGAGGCAAACCUUUGUUGAAAUAACUCGAGAACUGGGACCCUUUUCACCCUGGGUGCCAUAUUCCCUUUCAGGGGCGGGGCCAUGUCAGGGGUGGGUGGGGCCACGGACAAAAGCAGGCGGGGCAAAAACGGGUGCACUGGGGUAACGUUUUGUAAUAUGUGUGUGAGGCCAAAAAAUUGGCACCCCGAAAUGGAUCUUCUCAAUUUUGUGCCCCCUGCUCAGUGCCGGGGGGGGGACGUCACUUCCUGCACCGCCCUAAACGGUUGACUUUUGACCUUUGUGCAGGAAGACCAGCUGGUGAAGAAGACAGGGUGUCUCCCCCUCCUGCCACAGCGAGCUCUCCUUCUGCUGGUCUCCCAGGACCAGAAGAGGGCUGAAAUGAGAGGAUCAAAAUCAGGCACACCGGCAUAGUCUCAGAUUGCUUGGGAAGGACCUGGGGAGGAGACUUAGGCAGCUGACGGAAGGCCUUCAGUCUCCACAAGUGCCACAGGACCUGCCGAGAAGAGUUGCUGUGCUCAGUAGGGCUAGCACUUCUGCGCAGACCUUGUUUCUCCUAAUAGAGAGUUCACUUAUCCCGUGUGAUUUAUUACUGAUCCAUUCCUGACACAAAAACACUCUGCUGCUGGUGGGGCGUAUUUCGCUCCUGAAGCCCGAGGUUCCCUGUUUUUGCUUUAGAAUUGCCAAUACAUGGGUGGCGCUGUGGUCUAAACCACAGAGCCUAGGACUUGCCGAUCAGAAGGUUGGCGGUUCGAAUCCCCGUGACAGGGUGAGCUCCCGUUGUUCGGUCCCAGCUCCUACCCACCUAGCAGUUGGAAAGCAUGUCAAAGUGCAAGUAGAUAAAUAGGUACCGCUCUGGCAGGAAAGUAAACGGCGUUUCUGUGCGCUGCUCUGGUUCGCCAGAAGCGGCUUAGUCAUGCUGGCCACAUGACCCGGAAGCUGUACACCGGCUCCCUCGGCCAGUAAAGCGAGAUGAGCGCCGCAACCCCAGAGUCGUCCGCGACUGGACCUAACGGUCAGGGGUCCCUUUACCUUUUUCCUGGCAGCCGCACCGGAAGUUGGCAGGAAAGUCCAAUGCCAUCUGCUAGACCCCUGGCCUUCAAUUGGCAGGUUGCGGCCUGAUCCCAGGUGGGUUGCAGCAGGAGCGUGGCCACUGUGCAGGUAUAAGGCAAAAAGGUUCAGAAAAGGGGUUCCCAAAUGCAUAUUCAGUUUAAAAGCCUCCCUGUCUCUUCAAGUGCACUUGGGCAUCCAGCAGGCAAGUCAAUACUUCUUGUAUCCAAGAACCCUUUCAACACUGGAGUGCGUAAGGCCUGCUUUAAAUGAUUUAUUUAGCCAACAGGGAGAAAGCAUCUUCCUUGUCUGCAGCUGCUGCAACAAGGCCUCUUCUGUGAGUGUGUAAAUCCCGCAGGCCUGCCGCCACCGCAAGGCUUGUUCUUACUUGCAAAAAUAUCUCUGUGUUUUCGUCAACAGCCUGCCAACCGCACAGCUCAGGUGCUCAGCAUCUGAGGCUCUAAGGCCAAGCGCCAUCAACAAGAGGCAAACUGGCAGACGUGCCGUAAGGGGGCAAAUGGCGGGUGGUGCCUCUGGCAACGGGUGCAAGUGACGGAUUUGAGCGCAGUCAGAAAACAAACAAACCUGUGAGGAUGAGCAGGACCGGCAAGCGAGGAUGUGUACACAUUGCUGCACAGGAGGACAAAACAGGAAACAAAGUCCCUUUCUUCUUCUUCACCACGCAAACUGUAUUCCUGACACAGAUUCAACAAGGCCGCCUUCCAAAGUCGGUGUGGACACCAGAGGGAUGCCUGUGAUGCCACUUUCAUUGUUACCGGACAACUCCAGUUCAUUUUGGACGCAGCCAUGUUGCAGGACCCCCUUCCAAUGUCAGAAAGGCUUAGUGGAGCCUCCCUCUUCAAAGGCAGUCUACCUCUAAAUGCCAGGUGCUGAGAGAUCAUAGAAUCCUAGAAUCCUAGAGUUGGAAUAGACCACAAGGGCCAUCGAGUCCAACCCCCUGCCAAGCAGGAAACACCAUCAGAGCACUCCUGACAUAUAGUUGUCAAGCCUCUGCUUAAAGACCUCCAAAGAAGGAGACUCCACCACACUCCUUGGCAGCAAAUUCCACUGUCGAACAGCUCUUACUGUCAGGAAGUUCUUCCUAAUGUUUAGGUGGAAUCUUCUUUCUUGUACGUAGUUUGGAUCCAUUGCUCCUUGUCCGCUUCUCUGGAGCAGCAGAAAACAACCUUUCUCCCUCCUCUAUAUGACAUCCUUUUAUAUAUUUGAACAUGGCUAUCAUAUCACCCCUUAACCUCCUCUUCUCCAGGCUAAACAUGCCCAGCUCCCAUAGCCGUCCCUCAUAAGGCAUCGUUUCCAGGCCUUUGACCAUUUUGGUUGCCCUCCUCUGGACACGUUCCAGUUUGUCAGUGUCCUUCUUGAACUGUGGUGCCCAGAACUGGACACAGUACUCCAGGUGAGGUCUGACCAGAGCAGAAUACAGUGGCACUAUUACUUCCCUUGAUCUAGAUGCUAUACUCCUAUUGAUGCAGCCCAGAAUUGCAUUGGCUUUUUAGCUGCCGCGUCACACUGUUGGCUCAUGUCAAGUUUGUGGUCAACCAAGACUCCUAGAUCCUUUUCACAUGUACUGCUCUCAAGCCAGGUGUCACCCAUCUUGUAUUUGUGCCUCUCAUUUUUUUGCCCAAGUGCAAUACUUUACAUUUCUCCCUGUUAAAGUUCAUCUUGUUUGUUUUGGCCCAGUUCUCUAAUCUGUCAAGGUCGUUUUGAAGUGUGAUCCUGUCCUCUGGGGUGUUAGCCACCCCUCCCAGUGCCUCUGUCCCUGAACCCCUGACAGGUGUCAUCUGCAAAUUUGAUCAGGAUGCCCUUGAGUCCAUCAUCCAAGUCGUUGAUAAAGAUGUUGAAUAAGACCGGGCCCAAGACAGAACCCUGUGGCACCCCACUAGUCACUCUUCUCCAGGAUGAAGAGGAACCAUUGAUGAGCCCCGCUUGGGUUCGGUCAGUCUGCCAGUUACAAAUCCACUGAGUGGUAGCAUAGUCAAGACCGCAUUUUACCAGCUUCUUUACAAGAAUAUCAUGGGGCACCUUGUCGAAUGCCUUGCUGAAAUCAAGGUAGGCUACAUCCACUGCGUUCCCUUCAUCUACCAGGCUUGUAAUUCUGUCAAAAAACGAGAUCAGGUUAGUCUGACAUGACUUUAUUUUUCAGAAAUCCAUGCUGACUAUUGGUGAUCACAGCAUUCCUUUCUAGGUGCUCACAGACUGUUUGCUUAAUGAUCUGCUCCAGAAUCUUCCCUAGUAUUGAUGUCAGACUGACUGGGUGAUAAUUAUUUGGGUCCUCUCUUUCCCCCUUUUUGAAAAUAGGGACAACAUUUGCCCUCCUUCAGUCUGCCGGGACUUCACCUGUUCUCCAGGAAUUCUCAAAGAUGACUGCCAGUGGUUCUGAGAUCACAUCUGCCAGUUCUUUUAAUACUCUUGGAUGCAGUUCGUCUGGCCCUGGAGACUUGAAUACAUCUAAACUAGCCAAGUAUUCUUGUACUAUCUCCUUAGUUAUUCUGGGCUGUGUUUCCUCUGCUGAAUCAUUUGCUCCAAAUUCUUCAGGUCGGGCAUUGUUUUCUUUAUCGGAGAAGACUGAGGCAAAGAAGGCAUUGAGGAGUUCAGCCCUUUCUGUGUCCCCUGUUUGCAUUUCACCAUCUUCACCUCUGAGUGACCCCACUGUUUCUUUGUUCUUCCUUUUGCUACGGACAUACCCAUAAUGAUGGGGAAGGCUGGUUGCCUUUAUGCUCUGCAUUUUGGGGCAGGUUGGUCUGUUAGAAAUAGCAUGCGAUAAUAAGUCAGCCUCUCGCAUCCUGGUGCCCAUCAGACAUUUCAGAUCGCAAUAACACCAUCAGUCCAAACCAGCACAACAGCUGUUGUCCAAAACAUCUAGAACAGCACCAGUUGGAGAAGGAUGCAAUAGAUCAAUUAACUGAACUAUUGGUUGCUAGGGGCCUGAAAGUUCAGGUAAAAGGUAGAGGGACCCCUGACAAUUAAGUCCAGUCGCGGAUGACUCUGGGGUUGUGGCGCUCAUCUUGCUUUAUUGGCCGAGGGAGCCGGCGUACAGCUUCCGGGUCAAGUGGCCAGCAUGACUAAGCCGCUUCUGGCGAACCAGAGCAGUGCACGGAAACGCCGUUUACCUUCCCGCCAGAGCUGUACCUAUUUAUCUACUUGCACUCUGACGUGCUUUGGAACUGCUAGGUUAGCAGGAGCUGGGACCAAGCAACGGGAGCUCACCCCGUUGUGGGGAUUUGAACCACCGACCUUCCGAUCGGCAAGCCCUAGGCUCUGUGGUGUAACCUACAGCGCCACCCACGUCCGCAAGUUCAGGACACCCAUGCUAUUUUAUACCAAAAGCUGCUUUCGUUCUAAGUGCAGAUGGGGCUCGUCAGCCUGGGAAGGUGGCCCAUCAAGGAGAAGGGAAACUCUGCUCCUAACCCUCUGGUGCCUUGCAGGAUAUCUAUGGGAGAAGAGAAGGCUCUGGAGUAAACCCUACACAAAUCUGAAGUUGUCCCUAAGGCGGUUGGAUGGUGCCUUGUAUGCCUCCUUCCGUCAACUCCUGCAGCCAAGCUGGUGCCCAACAUCUUGCUCAGCUUUCCGUUGGACCGCAUCAGAGAGGCUGAGAGGGGGGUCUUAUCAACUGAGCAGCCCCGGACCUCCAUCCACACUGCCCAGGCUUGCGCCCCAGGGAGGUCACUUCAGUGCUGCUAACAGAGCCGUUUGACUUCACCCCCGGAGGCGCACUCCAUUGUCUCUUGAGACAGACAGGUGCCUGCAACAACAACUCUGGUUCUGUG